CCUCGUCUCGAACCCCUUCUCUAGUUGCAAUGCAGCAUUGGCAGUGCCGAGAGGUAGGAGCAGCAGCCCUUGUGUGCCAAGGACAUGCUGUCAAGCAUGGUUGAUGAUCCGAUGGAGGAGCUCUUAAGGAGAUAAAGGAGAACCAGGCCCACUUGGAUAGAUUUAAGGUGGCAUUGCGAAGGUUGACUUGGGGCAGGGAGGUGGUUGCCCACAUUGAGAG
rnacentral:lncRNA from 1 species